rnacentral:lncRNA from 1 species
CCUGAGGCCACCAUGUAAUUUAGGUGCUAACUACUGGAGUAGGAAGAUUUUAUUUUUCUCACCUUCCCAUGUGCCAGAUAAAGAGAGGAAGAAAGCAACACCCAGAACCAGAUGGGGGCAUGUCAGAGGGAGAACUAGAGGAAGAUGGGGAUGAUGAUGAAGAUGGGCCAAGGAGAUCUGGACAUCACAGGCACAGAAACAGGAGAGGAUGGGGAAGAGCAGCUGGAAAUGAGGGCAGCGAUUCUAAGGUGGAACCCUGCAAAACCAGGAAGAACCAGGCAAAUCAGAAAUACAUGGAAGAUGAUGAAGAAGAUGAGAAAGGAUGCAAAAGUGGGAAAGGCAAAAAUGAGAAGAAACAGGAUAAAAAAUCUGAUAAGAAAGGGAAAAAAGAGAAGGCCAACAAGAAGAAAAAAGACAAAGAAAUCAGGUUCAGGCUCUGAUUAUGAUUCUGAGGAGGAGCUGAUUACAGAGGAGGAAUUGGCCAAGCUGAAAGAAGAGGUAGAAGAAAAAAAGAAGUUAAUUGCCAUGCUACGAAACAAGCCAUGGAAGAUGUAAAAGAAGUUGGCUGUCCUGAAAUCUACUGACACAAUUAACUGAUAGGCGCCACACAGGCAAGCAUGGGACUCAGGAUGGUGCAGCCCGUAGAAGAGGGGUUUGCUCUGGGGGGCUCCCCAA